GGUACCCCUCAAGUCCCCUUUUCCCCCAUGAGUUUGAGCUCUAUGUUUGCCCAUUUGCCUGGUGGGCCUCUUUCAGGCCUAUGCUCUCCCACAGCAAAGGGCGAGCCACUGAGAUUUUCAUCCAUGCUUCGAGUGAUCAGAGAAAGGUUGUGUGCUGGUGGAGGUAGGGGGUUAAAGGGAUAAGGCAUAACCUGAGACUUCAAAACGCUGCUGAGCCCCACACUGGGCGGAGGCCUAAGAAGUUUGGAAUGUUCUGCUAAAGGCCUAAGGCAGGGCUUUGUGUGGAGGCGGGCUGGGCGGGGCAUCCUCUGAUAUUUUCCAGGUUUAGCCUCUGGCUUUCUUAUAUUGCUAUUCCCAUUGGUUUGUGUUGUCCUAUUUUGGGCUUCGUGGGAAAUAGCUCAGCUGUGGGUUAGAAUAAGUAACUCUAUGUCUGUUAUUUAAUGGAGGCCGACUCUGGUUCCUACCUAAUGCCUUCAAAGCCCUGUCUCCGAAAUUGGUGAAUGUGAUUAUCUGGUACACAUUGGGGUAUGAAGAUCGCCAGUUAGAGACCAGCGUGGAAUAUAUAAAAAGAAUUGUGGUUUCUGUGAAUGGCUUCAGGGGAGCUCAGGAAAAGAGGCAGCAGGAGACAGAUGCCAUGAGAAGAUCACGGAGGACUUCCAUUCUCCAUCAG